CUCCCUCAGCCUUACUCCAGGGACUUUUGCUGUAAAGUGCCCUGGCAUUGCCUGAGGGCACAUGAAAAAGCACAUAUCCCUCCCCAGUAAGACUCUGUGUUCUUGUGGGGCCUACAGAUUGAGCUGACAGU
rnacentral:snoRNA from 9 species